UUUUAUAUUAGCAGAUCUGAACACAUCUGCAGGCCCAUGACCUCGCUGAGAAUUAGCAGCGGGUUCCGUGCUGUGAGAUGCUGCUUCAUUCAUCAUCUUCUCCACAAAACUGUAAAUCGACUGACAGCUACAAAGGAAGUACAUUUGCCUGGAGCCUACCCAGAGUCGGGAACACAAGGGACUGAUGCACGCAGAGUGGAUGGUUCUGCAAAGUUUGGACCCUUCCCACGUGUUUUGAUACCAGAUGCAUAUUGACGGAUCGGGUGAAGGAUGUUCGAUACUGCGAUUCAGGAGUAAGAGCGUGUCAUCAACAAAUCAAAGGUGCACAUGCACACGCGUGUGUUUUUACCUGCAUCAAGCCGGACACCUCUCCCUUCUGAAGCGGUUUGGCAAUGGACGCAGUGAAGGGCUUAC